GUGAAGAGAACCAAUGCGUGGCCUGCCCGACAGAGAACGGGCUGUUGGGAUGGAGCAAGACGUGUAUGGCAAAGAAGGUAAGUUCCUGUGAUCCUAAAAGCUUCCAUUACUAUAAACUUGAAGGUGUGGAUCACUUUUUGACUAAGUACAACAAAGGAGAAGGGCCUAUGGGGCAGAAGGAGUGUGAGAAAAAGUGCAAUUUGGAUUGUAAAUGUUUGGGUUAUUUUUACCAAACCAAAGGCUCUCUUUGUUGGGUUGCAAAUGAAUUGAAGACUUUGAUAAAAG
rnacentral:misc_RNA from 1 species